AACGAACGCUGGCGGCAUGCCUAACACAUGCAAGUCGAACGAAACGUUCGGGUCUAGUGGCGCACGGGUGCGGAACGCGGGGGAACCUGCACUUAGGUUCGGAAUAACUCCCCGAAAGGGGUGCUAAUACCGGAUAAUGUCUUCGGACCAAAGAUUUAUUGCCUUUGGAUGGGCCCGCGUUGGAUUAGGUAGUUGGUAGGGUAAAAGCCUACCAAGGCGACGAUCCAUAGCUGGUCUGAGAGGAUGAUCAGCCACACUGGGACUGAGACACGGCCCAGACUCCUACGGGAGGCAGCAGUGUGGAAUAUUGGACAAUGGGCGAAGGCCUGAUCCAGCAAUGCCGCGUGAGUGAUGAUGGCCUUAGGGUUGUAAAGCUCUUUUACCCGGGAUGAUAAUGACGGUACCGGGUGAAUAAGCUCCGGCUAACUCCGUG
rnacentral:rRNA from 1 species